AAGAGAAGGCGAGGUGACGAAGGGUGCAAAUAUUGUGCACCGUUGUCGCAAUAUUAUCGUUUCGAAAAGACGCACGCACCAGCUCGGGCCACGCUUUAUGCUCGUGGGUCCGCUUGCAAACAGAUAACGCGACCCCGAGUGGUUUACCGGCUAGUCCUAUUUGGUUUACGGCUUACGAAGAUAUUCCACCACCUCCAGGAACACGCGUUGCUUGUAUAGGAUCAUCGAGAAAACUCGCGAGUUCAACCGGAGAUCGGUAUCGCGUCAACUUCUACGAAAGAACAAAAAGAUUUUCUCUAGAAUGGAAGCAACAAUUUUUAAAGUCGACCUUCAUACUCCAGAAAAAUGUUAAACCAUGCGACAAUUUUCUAGACACCAGUUGAUACAUCGCGGACCUUUUUCUGCUUUCCAUAACACCCGUGAAAAUCUGGAGCAGUCCCGUUUCUUUUUCCUCUGCAUACCUCUGACCAUCUCUAUGGGAAUUACUCCAGUGAUUUGUUGCUUCUGUCGUGGAAAUCGAAAAACAGAAUACGAGCAUGGAAUACCACCCAUCGAUGCGAUGCUUGUUUGCAUAUUUCGACACUCGGAAUGAAGAUGGAAUUUGUAUCGAGAAUCGAUCAGUAUCGUUACAAUACUCUCAAUGUUGUGGAAACAAUUCUUGUAAUGUUUUGUAAAUCUUAAAUCUUGUAAAGAUUUAAAGAAGAUAGCGUAAUAAAAUAUUAAAUAAGAAAUCUAGAGAAAUUAUAGCGUGAUAAAUUUAAGAGCUAGAGAUCAUUGCUACAUAAAUUUUUGUCACGAUAUCAAAUUUGAUAUUUCCAAAGAAAUAAAUAAAUCGUAAUAAAGAAAAAAGAAACAAAAGAAAUAAAAUAUUUAAAAAUUUCUUAAAAAUUGGAACAAUUCCAAGUUUCACCAUAUAAUAUUGGAGACUCUCUCUUUCCAUUCUGUUUCGAGUCCUUCCUAAUUUUUAAACAAAUAAAGGAAAAGAAAUUUCUUUCUUCAGAAGAUAUUUUAUGUGUGCACCGAAUUUUUGAAACCGGUCAAUCCACCGGUAAAGAACAGAGCAUUGAAUACGGGGGUGAAAGUACAAGUACCGAAAAGACAGUUAGUUUUGGUUUGUAGGAUCCCUUCGCUCGCACACCUCGAACGAGAAACAUGCAAAUACGGUGGACUCGUCAAAGGGACGAAGAGUCGUUCGAAAAUAUAUAAUUCAGACCGUAAAUGGCCCUCUUACGGACUGGUAAAACGGUUAACUUUUAACGUGACCGGCUUAGGUAUGGAACCUUGGAAAACGUAGUUUCCAUGCGAAAGGAAAAAGAAGCGACGAAAAGUGUAGGACAGAUCGCAUUAUCCUUUGAUAAAACGACUUCUUGGCGGGCUAAAGGUGGCAGAGGAGAGGGAGAAGGAAGGAGGGAAGGGGAAAAAAUGCGAAGCGAAACUCGUUAUUAAGAAAACGAAUCAUAAUGGAAGGUGCUUGAAAGAUUGAUGGGACAAAGGACGAAGAGAUAGAAGUUGGUGUAACUUCGCUCUCUGUAUAAUUUUAUACAGGGCCUAAGAAUUGGGAUGAGGCCGAUGUUAAACGUUCCGUUUGAUCGAUGUGAAUGUUGAAGAAUGAAAUUUCUUGACGGAUUUUAAGGAAAAAAAAAACAAAGCAUCGAGAUACAAUAAAGAGAAAAAAGAUAAGUGAAUUCAAGGAAAAGUACGUGUGUACAUGUUCAUGAGCAAUAACAAUUCGACAUCUAUAAAACAGAGAAGAAGAGUCAUUUGUUAUGUCCCUGAAGGCCCAAUCAUCAUCGCCACAUAAAGAAAGAGAACGAAAACUUUGACUGGUCUCGGAGAAGAAGAAAAAAAAUGGAAGUAUUCACUUCGUACACCCUUUCGAUCGUUUCAACAGCAAUAAAACAGCAGUAGCGUAGAUAUAUCCUCGAUGUUAUGUCAUCGAUCGGAAAUAUCAAACCGUUGCACGAAUCUCGUUACCGCAUCGAGAAGUAAUGAUCUUCCGUAUCAAAAGGAGCAUUGGAAGAUUCCAUUUCGCGAAGAGUCCAUCCCCCUAUCCAUUGUAUUAAAAAUAUUUUAUGUAGGAACAAAAAGAGGAGGAAACGGAAAAGAAGAGAAUGAAUUCUAAGAGGGAAGGGAAGAAGAAGAAGAGGAAAUGUGUGGUUUUUGCUUUUCCUAGGACAUAACGCCGCGCUUUAUGAUUACGAACGCCCGUGAACGGGCAUCGUGAUCCUCGUUACGACCUCGUAAAGAAACCUUUUAAGAUGUCCACUCGGACCUUUCACUCGGACCUAGCUUCGAUCGACGCUUCACAUAGAUGGCGCGCGUCCAUCUAUUUUUGAGCGUCAAAAAAUGGGAUAUUGAUUUUCGAUGAAUAAAAUGGCGAAAAAUAGAACGGAAAUCCAAAAUAGCUGUGCAUACUGAGGAUGACACUCUACUUGUAAAGGAACAUCAGAUACGUGAGAAAACUCUUUUUAAUCUUUUUUACAAAAGUUUAUACAUCAUAAAUUAGAAAGUAUAUACGUUUACUGUAUUGAAUAUUGCUCUUAAAAUGAAUCUAUAAAAAAAAAAUAUAUAUAUUUCUCAUCUGUUCCACAAAUGAUUCAUCGCGUUAAUUUCUCACGCGAAAAUUCCCCUUCUUCGAGCUUCCAUUUCCAUUUCCAACGGAAGAUCUCGAAGAAUUUCUAGGGCCAACGUAUAAUUCUUUCGUAAUACCGCGAUAAACCGAGAAGGGUGAGUGUUUCUCUCCAAAGGCUUGUCAAAAUAAUGUUUGUCUAGCGCGAAAGCCUCGGUAGCGAAGGCACAAGCUUUGUCGGCCUGACGCUCGUCGCCGGGACGCGCUCCACCCACGUCAGUUAUGAGAAGUUAUGGCUGUUAUGAUUGUCAUGUUUUGUCAACUCCUUUGUCAACGACAAAAGGGCUAGCAGCGGGAGGAUCAUGAGCUUUUCGACAGCCGAACCGUUUGCCGCGUUUUGCGGCAAGGUUGGCCGAAUAACCGGGCAGAGUCGGAGCACAAAAGUGUCACCGGAAGUUCUGUUGGCAUAAAAUUCGAUACGUCAUUCCCGCGAGAAGCCCUCUCGAUCGUAUACUCUCUGCUUGAAUACUAGUUUUCGCAAGGUGGCCGUGUUAUGGGAAUAUCACGCUCUUAGUUAAACGUCAAUCACGCAACGGAUGCUCUUUCUUUACCUUUGCAAUUUUAUACGCGUAUGAUUAUAUAACGUUUGGCGAGAUGUAUAGAAGCAAAUGUUUAAAAAAAAAAAAUUUUUUUAAACUCUCCACAAAUAAUCCAUGCAUCUUCUAAGAUUAAUAUAGCUUUCUCUCAAAUUUUAAAAUAUUUCUAUUCCGCAUACACGAAAUUUAUAAUUUACAAUACAUAUAAUAAUUUAACUUUCAAAAUUUAAUUUUUUAAAAAAUUCUUGCUGCAAAUUUAAGCCUAUAAGUAGAAUCCAGAUACAUAAAUUAUUUUUGUUACAGAAUUAAUCACGUCUCCAAAUUGAUCGAUCCCCGUGGACGAAUUGUAUCCAAAGGGAAACAAUUUCUAACGAAGGCAGAGGAAAAUUUAGCCAAACGCGAGGCCAUUCGAACGUUUAAUCUCACGCUUCGUUCCCCGCGAUCAACGUGAAUCACUUGGAAAUAAAGACGAUGUUUCCACAACCCCAGGAAACAUUGGCGAUUGAUUGCACCGAGGGUGUAGCCAUUACAAUUGCAGCGUGAACCUGGGAGGGGUACCGAACAUCAUCCGGGAAAAUCUACGGUCCACGGUCUAUUUUCCACGACUAUUAGUCCAGCGAGUUAAUUCGAUGGAAGCAGAGGUAUCCGCGAGUAAAUAGAAAACGCUAUGAAUCGUGCUACUACGUGACAGAGAUGAAAAUAUAUAUCCGUGACGCAAGUUUAAUUUAAUCUUAUUGCCUCGCAAUUUCGUCUCGCGUAAUUUUGGAUACUCUUCGAGCCAUUUAAAAUAAUCAAGUGAAACAAUAUUCGAAAAUUUACUUAUCCUAUAAAAUAUAUUAAUUUCUUUUUUUAUUUAACGUAUCUUACUCGAAAUUAAUGAUUAAUUCGACAAUAAAUUGGGCAAGGUUCAAGAUUACCGAACCUGCAAUUUAUUCCUUGUCAUCGACCCAAUACAUUCGAUCCAAUACACUCUAUCUUGUUUUCAUUUCAACGAAAUGAUAAUACGAUAGUAUAUUUACAAUACAAUAAUACGAGUGCUUCGAAUAAAAACAAACGAGCCUAUCGUAGACGACAUCAUCUCUGUUUCCAUGCCCAUUCAAGGUCCAUUCGGACAGGUGCGACAUCGCGGUUAUACGUGCCGUCACAAAAGAGAGAACGUAUAAAUCGCCCGAAUCAAAAAUCUUUCCUCUCUCGACACGAGAACCGCAAGAAGCCCUCUCACUCCCCCGAUCUAUUGAAAAAAAAAUGCCAGGAAUCAUUAUUUUUCUCACCCUCGUGACCGUCCACCCCAAACGCAACCACGACCAACGAUCUGUGCGAUGCAGGGACAUCAACGAUUCUGCAAUUAUCGUGGAGCAGACGCGAAUGCGUGACUAUGAUAAAUCUACGAUAGAGCCGCUCCUGGGGAUUUAUUGCACCGUUGGCGCGAAUUCGAUUCCGGUUGGAGGUUGGACGGGUGCAAGGGUGCGUUCGUCCAACCAAUCCAGAUCCGAUCACGGUAAUAAAAAUAUAUCGGGGAACACCCUGGUGUGGCUAUCUUCGCGUACCGCGUGUACGGAGGGGGCCAUUUUUCUCCCAAGAUCGAGUUUGACCCGUGACGAAAACCAGUAAUCCUCGAAAUUCACGCGAAAUUUGAGAAAUUUUGCUGAAGAUUUGACGUUGCUAUUGAUUAUUGGGAAGAUUUGCGCGGAGAAAGAGGAAAUUUAGAAGAUUUUUAUUAUUU